rnacentral:rRNA from 1 species
AGCACGAAGGUUGGCUAAUCCUGGUCGGACAUCAGGAGGUUAGUGCAAUGGCAUAAGCCAGCUUGACUGCGAGCGUGACGGCGCGAGCAGGUGCGAAAGCAGGUCAUAGUGAUCCGGUGGUUCUGAAUGGAAGGGCCAUCGCUCAACGGAUAAAAGGUACUCCGGGGAUAACAGGCUGAUACCGCCCAAGAGUUCAUAUCGACGGCGGUGUUUGGCACCUCGAUGUCGGCUCAUCACAUCCUGGGGCUGAAGUAGGUCCCAAGGGUAUGGCUGUUCGCCAUUUAAAGUGGUACGCGAGCUGGGUUUAGAACGUCGUGAGACAGUUCGGUCCCUAUCUGCCGUGGGCGCUGGAGAACUGAGGGGGGCUGCUCCUAGUACGAGAGGACCGGAGUGGACGCAUCACUGGUGUUCGGGUUGUCAUGCCAAUGGCACUGCCCGGUAGCUAAAUGCGGAAGAGAUAAGUGCUGAAAGCAUCUAAGCACGAAACUUGCCCCGAGAUGAGUUCUCCCUGACUCCUUGAGAGUCCUGAAGGAACGUUGAAGACGACGACGUUGAUAGGCCGGGUGUGUAAGCGCAGCGAUGCGUUGAGCUAACCGGUACUAAUGAACCGUGAGGCUUAACCUUACAACGCCGAAGCUGUU